rnacentral:rRNA from 1 species
AGCAGCCGCCACGGUAAUACGUAGGUGGCGAGCGUUGUCCGGGAUUAUUGGGCGUAAAGGGCUCGCAGGCGGUUUCUUAAGUCUGAUGUGAAAGCCCCCGGCUCAACCGGGGAGGGUCAUUGGAAACUGGGAAACUUGAGUGCAGAAGAGGAGAGUGGAAUUCCACGUGUAGCGGUGAAAUGCGUAGAGAUGUGGAGGAACACCAGUGGCGAAGGCGACUCUCUGGUCUGUAACUGACGCUGAGGAGCGAAAGCGUGGGGAGCGAACAGGAUUAGAUACCCCAGUAGUCCCUGUCUCUUAUAC